CACACAGCUCAGUAGCACGUGGCUAACCUGCCCUUGAGACGGGAGCAACCCCGGGAAACUGGGGCCAAUUCCCGAUAGGUGAAGAUCCCUGGAAUGGUUUUUCGCCCAAAGGACGUUUAGGUCAUGCUCUUAGACGUUGUUCAAGGAUGGGGCCGCGGCCGAUCAGGUUGUUGGUGAGGUAACGGCUCACCAAGCCUUUGACCGGUUCGGGCCGUGGGAGCGGUAGCCCGGAUAUGGGCACUGAGACAAGGGCCCAGGCCCUACGGGGCGCAGCAGUCGCGAAAACUUCGCAAUAAGCGAAAGCUUGACGGGGCCAUCCCGAGUGCCAUCUGCUGAGGAUGGCUUUUACCCAGUAUAGAUAGCUGGGGGAAUAAGGAGAGGGCAAGUCUGGUGUCAGCCGCCGCGGUAAUACCAGCUCUCCGAGUUGUGGGGACGUUUAUUGAGCCUAAAGCAUCCGUAGCCGGCUGGGCAAGUCCUCUGUUAAAUCCAGCGACUAAUCGUUGGCCUGCGGGGGAUACUGCUCGGCUAGGGGGCGGGAGAGGCCGUCUGUAUUCUUGGGGUAGGGGUGAAAUCCUAUAAUCCCAGGAGGACCACCAGUGGCGAAGGCUGUCGGCUAGAACCCGCCCGACGGUGAGGGAUGAAAAGCUGGGGGAGCGAACC
rnacentral:rRNA from 1 species